UACGAAGGGGGCUAGCGUUGUUCGGAUUUACUGGGCGUAAAGCGCGUGUAGGCGGGCCGUUAAGUAGGGGGUGAAAUCCCAGAGCUCAACUCUGGAACUGCCUCCUAGACUGGCGGCCUGGACCCAAGGAGAGGCAAGUGGAAUUGCGAGUGUAGAGGUGAAAUUCGUAGAUAUUCGCAGGAACACCAGUGGCGAAGGCGACUUGCUGGACUUGUGGUGACGCUGAGACGCGAAAGCGUGGGGAGCAAACAGG
rnacentral:rRNA from 1 species